GUCGAUCCUACAGCGAGUAUUUUCUUGGUGAACUCCGCCAGGUCGGGAACGAAGCAACGGUAGCCGUAGAGGUAUUGUGUUGUAUGGAUCGGCUGC
rnacentral:SRP_RNA from 1 species